rnacentral:lncRNA from 1 species
AUUUAGCAGUGAUAACUUGAAUUGCUCUUUGCAGUGAUCAGAAAAAGGCAUUCAUUAUGCCUAACAAAUUCAUCCCUUUUUAAUCUUUAUUUGAAACAGGGUCUCAUGUAGCUAAUGCUGGCCUUGAACUCACUAUGUAGCUGAGGCUAGUCUUGAACUCCUGAUCUUUAGAUUUCCACCUCCCAAGUGCUUGGAUCACUGGCAUGUACCACUAUGCAUGUCUCUCCUAAGUUCUUUGGAAGCCAAAAUGAUGUCCUGUCAUUUAGUAGUCAUCAACUAAAGCUUGGUGCUUGAGGCAAGGGACAAAAAUGCAAGGCCACCAGCAGUUUCUGGGACAGGCGAGACCCAGAGAGCUUCUGAGGCGGCGCCAUCUUCGGCUCCAGACAACCGGCCACCUUCCUGGCCAAAGCAACACAGCUUCUGGGAAAGAUCCUGUUUUGGGCCUUCAUCUUCAGCCAGGAGGAGGUCCAAACACCAGAUACCUGUGCACCUUCCCUGAAAGAGGAGAGCUUGCCUGCAGAGACUGCUCUGACCACUGAAACUCAGAGGAGAGAGCUAGUCUCCCACGUCUGCUGAUAGAGGGUAACAAAAUCACCAGAGGAACAAUCUCUAAACAAAGACAACUAUAACAACUAACUCCAGAGAUUGCCAAAUGGCGAAAGGUAAACGUAAGAAUCCUACUAACAGAAACCAGGACCACUCACCAUCAUCAGAACCCAGAACACCCACUUCGCCCAGUCCAGGGCACCCUAACACACCUGAAAAGGUAGACCUGGAUUAAAAAGCAUAUCUCAUGAUGAUGGUAGAGGACAUAAAGAAGGAAUUUAAUAACUCACUUAAAGAAAUACAGGAGAACACUGCUAAAGAGUUACAACUCCUUAAAGAAAAACAGGAAAACACAACCAAACAGGUAGAAGUCCUUAUAGAAAAACAGGAAAACACAUCCAAACAGGUGAUGGAAAUGAACAAAACCAUACUAGACCUAAAAAGGGAAGUAGACACAAUAAAGAAAACCCAAAGUGAGGAAACGCUGGAGAUAGAAACCUUAGGAAAGAAAUCUGGAACCAUAGAUGCCAGCAUCAGCAACAGAAUACAAGAGAUGGAAGAGAGAAUCUCAGGUGCAGAAGAUUCCAUAGAGAACAUCGGCACAACAAUCAAAGAAAAUGGAAAAUGCAAGAAGAUCCUAACUCAAAACAUCCAGGAAAUUCAGGACACAAUGAGAAGACCAAACCUACGGAUAAUAGGAGUGGAUGAGAAUCAAGAUUUUCAACUCAAAGGACCAGCAAACAUCUUCAACAAAAUUAUUGAAGAAAACUUCCCAAAUCUAAAGAAAGAGAUGCCCAUGAACAUACAAGAAGCCUACAGAACUCCAAAUAGGACCAGAAAAGAAAUUCCUCCCGACACAUAAUAAUCAGAACAUCAAAUGCACUAAAUAAAGAUAGAAUACUAAAAGCAGUAAGGGAAAAAGGUCAAGUAACAUAUAAAGGCAAGCCUAUCAGAAUUACACCAGAUUUUUCACCAGAGACUAUGAAAGCCAGAAGAGCCUGGACAGAUGUUAUACAGACACUAAGAGAACACAAAUUCCAGCCCAGGCUACUAUACCCAGCCAAACUCUCAAUUACCAUAGAUGGAGAAACCAAAGUAUUCCACGACAAAACUAAAAUCACCCAUUAUCUCUCCACGAAUCCAGCCCUUCAAAGGAUAAUAACA